rnacentral:rRNA from 1 species
UACCAGCACCCCGAGUGGUCGGGACGAUUAUUGGGCCUAAAGCAUCCGUAGCCGGUUCUACAAGUCUUCCGUUAAAUCCACCUGCUUAACAGAUGGGCUGCGGAGGAUACUAUAGAGCUAGGAGGCGGGAGAGGCAAGCGGUACUUAGUGGGUAGGGGUAAAAUCCGUUGAUCCACUGAAGACCACCAGUGGCGAAGGCGGCUUGCCAGAAUGCGCUCGACGGUGAGGGAUGAAAGCUGGGGGAGCAAACCGG